CGCGUCCGAUUAGCAGUUGUAGGGUAAAGGCGUACCAAGGCAACGAUCCGUAGCUGGCUGAGAGGAUGAUCAGCCACAUCGGGACUGAGACACGGCCCGAACUCCUACGGGAGGCAGCAGUGGGGAAUAUUGGACAAUGGGGGCAACCCUGAUCCAGCCAUGCCGCGUGUGUGAAGAAGGCCUUCGGGUUGUAAAGCACUUUCAGCGAGGAAGAACGCCUAGCGGUUAAUACCCGUUAGGAAAGACAUCACUCGCAGAAGAAGCACCGGCUAAACUCCGUGCCAGCAGCCGCGGUAAUACGGAGGGUGCAAGCGUUAAUCGGAAUUACUGGGCGUAAAGCGCGCGUAGGUGGCUUGAUAAGCCGGUUGUGAAAGCCCCGGGCUCAACCUGGGAACGGCAUCCGGAACUGUCAGGCUAGAGUGCAGGAGAGGAAGGUAGAAUUCCCGGUGUAGCGGUGAAAUGCGUAGAGAUCGGGAGGAAUACCAGUGGCGAAGGCGGCCUUCUGGACUGACACUGACACUGAGGUGCGAAAGCGUG
rnacentral:rRNA from 1 species